rnacentral:rRNA from 1 species
GAUGAACGCUAGCGGCAGGCCUAAUACAUGCAAGCCGAACGGCAAGUCUUUUAGCAAUAGAAGACCUAGAGUGGCGUAAGGGUGCGUAACACGUAUGCAAUCUGCCCUCAACAGGAGGAUAGCUCCCCGAAAGGGGAAUUAAGCCUCCAUAGGAUCGUAAUGUGGCAUCACAUAGCGAUUAAACUACCAGGGGUUGAGGAUGAGCAUGCGCAUGAUUAGUUAGUUGGCGGGGUAACGGCCCACCAAGACGAUGAUCAUUAGGGGAACUGAGAGGUUGAUCCCCCACACUGGCACUGAGAUACGGGCCAGACUCCUACGGGAGGCAGCAGUAGGGAAUAUUGGACAAUGGGUGCAAGCCUGAUCCAGCCAUGCCGCGUGCAGGAAGA